GGCAUUUGAGGUGGUAGAUUCCGUACCGACCACACGCCGAAGGUAUUGACAGGCGCAAGCCGAGAGACGCGGGAGAAGGGUACGCCCGCCAAAUGCC
rnacentral:ncRNA from 1 species